ACGGGUGAGUAAUACAUCGGAACGUAUCCUGGAGUGGGGGAUAGCCCGGCGAAAGCCGGAUUAAUACCGCAUACGCUCUGAGGAGGAAAGCGGGGGACCUUCGGGCCUCGCGCUCAAGGGGCGGCCGAUGGCGGAUUAGGUAGUUGGUGGGGUAAAGGCCUACCAAGCCGACGAUCCGUAGCUGGUCUGAGGGGACGACCAGCCACACUGGGACUGAGACACGGCCCAGACUCCUACGGGAGGCAGCAGUGGGGAAUUUUGGACAAUGGGGGCAACCCUGAUCCAGCAAUGCCGCGUGUGUGAAGAAGGCCUUCGGGUUGUAAAGCACUUUUGUCCGGAAAGAAAUCAUCGGGGCCAAUACCCCUGGUGGAUGACGGUACCGGAAGAAUAAGCGCCGGCUAACUACGUGCCAGCAGCCGCGGUGAUACGUAGGGUGCGAGCGUUAAUCGGAAUUACUGGGCGUAAAGCGCGCGCAGGCGGUGCUGUAAGACCGAUGUGAAAUCCCCGGGCUUAACCUGGGAACUGCAUUGGUGACUGCAGCGCUGGAGUAUGGCAGAGGGGGGUGGAAUUCCACGU
rnacentral:rRNA from 1 species